rnacentral:rRNA from 1 species
AUACGUAGGGAGCGAGCGUUGUCCGGAAUUACUGGGCGUCAAGGGCGCGUAGGCGGAGCUUCAAGUCGUCUGUCAAAUGGGAGGGCUUAACCCUUUUUCGCAGACGAACCUGCAGAGCUUGAGAAGCAGAGAGGCAAACAGAAUUCCUGGUGUAGCGGUGAAAUGCGUAGAUAUCAGGAAGAAUACCAGUGGAGAAGGCGGUUUGCUGGCUGCAUACGGACGCUGAAGCGCGAAAGCGAGGGGAGCAAACGGGAUUAGAUACCCCGGUAGUCCUGGCAGUAAACGAUGUAUGCUGGGUGUGAGACUAGCGAUAGUGUCGUGCCGAAGUUAACGCGAUAAGCAUACCGCCUGGGGAGUACGGUCGCAAGAUUGAAACUCAAAGGAAUUGACGGGG